rnacentral:tRNA from 1 species
GGAGAUUUAGCUCAGCGGUAGAGCGCUUGCCUAGCGAGCACAGGCCCUGGGUUCGGUCCCCAGCUCCG